GACAGAGGUGCCGAGCGUUAGGCGGAAUCACUGGGCUUAAAGCGUGUGUAGGCGGACCCAUAAGUCCCUUGUGAAAUCCCACGGCUCAACCGUGGAACUGCUGGGUAUACUGCGGGUCUUGAGCGGCCUAGGGGCAGACGGAACAAGUGGUGGAGCGGUGAAAUGCGUAGAUAUCACUUGGAACGCCGACGGUGAAAACAGUCUGCUGGGGGCCUGCUGACGCUGAGACACGAAAGCCAGGGGAGCGAACGGG
rnacentral:rRNA from 1 species